GAUGAACGCUGACAGAAUGCUUAACACAUGCAAGUCAACUGUGGCGGACGGGUGAGUAACGCGUAAAGAACUUGCCUCACGGAUAGGGACAACAUUUGGAAACGAAUGCUAAUACCUGAUACUGUGAGAGAGCUUUGCGUCCCAUUAGCUAGUUGGAGAGGUAACGGCUCACCAAGGCGAUGAGGGGUAGCCGGCCUGAGAGGGUGAUCGGCCACAAGGGGACUGAGAAACGGCCCUUAGUCCUACGGGGGGAAGCAGUGGGGAAUAUUGGACAAUGGACCAAAGUCUGAUCCAGCAAGUCUGUGUGCACGAUGAAGUUUUCGGGAGGUAAAGUGCUUUCAGUGGAGAAGCGGUACCAACAGAAGAAGUGACGGCUAAAUACGUGCCAGCAGCCGCGGUAAUAC
rnacentral:rRNA from 1 species